AUUGAACGCUGGCGGCAUGCCUUACACAUGCAAGUCGAACGGUAACGGGUCCUUCGGGAUGCCGACGAGUGGCGAACGGGUGAGUAAUAUAUCGGAACGUGCCCAGUAGUGGGGGAUAACUGCUCGAAAGAGCAGCUAAUACCGCAUACGACCUGAGGGUGAAAGGGGGGGAUCACAAUGCCUCCCGCUAUUGGAGCGGCCGAUAUCAGAUUAGCUAGUUGGUGGGGUAAAGGCCUACCAAGGCAACGAUCUGUAGUUGGUCUGAGAGGACGACCAGCCACACCGGGACUGAGACACGGCCCAGACUCCUACGGGAGGCAGCAGUGGGGAAUUUUGGACAAUGGGCGCAAGCCUGAUCCAGCAAUGCCGCGUGCAGGAAGAAGGCCUUCGGGUUGUAAACUGCUUUUGUCAGGGAAGAAAUCUUCUGGGCUAAUACCCCGGGAGGAUGACGGUACCUGAAGAAUAAGCACCGGCUAACUACGUGCCAGCCGCCGCCGUAA
rnacentral:rRNA from 1 species